AGAGACUGUCGAGGUUCGCUUCUCAGCGCUUCCCCCCUACUCCGGCCGCCUUUCGCCGUUAUUUCGGGGAGAUGGAGGCACAGACCCUGCAGGUCCCGACAUAGGACGCUCUCCCGCUGCGGCGGUGCUGCCUGGGUUGGCGUGGGGCGCUCCCGCGGAGAAGCCGCCCGCCCGCGAUCGGGGGGUCUGCAACAAGCAAAAUAGAGUGCCAAGAUAGGAGGGUAUGUGCUGAUCCCUAGAGCUCUCCUUCAAGGUCUUUCCAUCAGUUCACUGAAAUACCUCCAGGAAGCCUAAGGCCACGUCAUCAAUGCCUUCAACACAGUGCUUCAGUUUGGGCAUUUUGCCCUAGCUGCUACUGCUUCAGGGAGACAUACUUCCAGGCACACACAGAGUGAGGCAGGACCGAACUGAGAGCAGACACUCCUACAUGCAGGAAUCUGGUGGUUUGUUUUUAUGUAACUGUCUGGUGCCUCUGUCUAUUUGAAGCAUUAGUUGUUUAUGCUUUCCUUCAGUGAGCAAAAAGAUAAGAGAGUUUGGAUUUAGUUUUUUACAGUUUAAAAGUAAAUUUCAAGAUUUUAAAGAAGCCUGUAGAAGUUAAGAUUUCAUUCAUCUUGCCAUUAAAAAAAAGUAUUUCUGUCCAAAACGCUUACAGCAAGCAUCCAUUUCAGGUUUUUUCCUACAGGGAAGAGAAGCCAAACUGCAGGUUACAGACCCUCUGGGGACAGCAUUUGAGAUGCAGGAGGAGAAAACCUGUUUUUUUUUUCUCCCUGAUUUCUGUCCACAGAAGGGCUAGGAAGCGGCGGAACAGAAAGGCCUCAUAUCAGGUGGAGAUAAUCCCUGCCACAGAAGUUCCCUGCUUCCCAGACAAGCUUCCCCAACAGCUUGCUUUGGCUGCAUGCUUCCAGCUACUCAUGGCUCCUUACAGCUGGAGGUUAGGCAAGGCAGCCUAACACUGAAGGUUAAGCUAACUCAAGGAUGUAUAUUUACUAAACAGAUCAUGUCAGGUAGGGUACACGAAACUAGCCCCAGAUCAUCUCAUGCUAGCUAACAAGCUUCUAACAAGCACAACCUGCCCCCUGAUAUUUAAAGAGAGAAAUUAAAACUAAUUUAGGAACACCAGGAACAGCCCCAAAGCAACUUCAGACCCAGUUGUAAGCACAAAUAACCUCAAUCCCACAAAGGGAGUACUUACCACCACCAUCACCCUAAUGAAACCAGUACCCCAAACCUACCCUCAAGUGCCUUAUCCAGUUUUUAUAAUGUAACCACCUCAUGGGAGAGAAGAAAGACACUCAUUAAGGGGCUCAGAGCAGAGUAAUUGGCUUUUAUUGGUCCAGUUAACAUUAAUAGGUCCUUUUAAGAAGGUGAAAAACUCCUCUAAAAGGAAAGGUAAUGGGGAACCUGGUGAGGAAAGACACAGUCAUGCAGUGUGUCUAGAAAGGGAAUUGCUGAUACUUGGGCUUGUGUAAUAGUGUUCAUACCCUGUUGUCUCAGUGCUGAGGUGUGCUGAGGCAUCUUUUUAUUAUCUCUGAAGGCCAAAGGGGGAAGAGCGUUGCAUAUUUUACCCAGCCCUUGUGCCACUGCUUUAUUAGUAUUAAGUUUUUCUGAUGCAUCUCAUUACAAGAUAUAUUUGUGCUUAACCAUUGUCUGUGUUACAUAUUCUGUGACUGACCUCCUCUUGCUGUAGAACAUC